rnacentral:rRNA from 1 species
UGUGAACGUUACCAAACUGUUGCCUCGGCGGGAUCUCUGCCCCGGGUGCGUCGCAGCCCCGGACCAAGGCGCCCGCCGGAGGACCAACCAAAACUCUUUUUGUAUACCCCCUCGCGGGUUUUUUAUAAUCUGAGCCUUCUCGGCGCCUCUCGUAGGCGUUUCGAAAAUGAAUCAAAACUUUCAACAACGGAUCUCUUGGUUCUGGCAUCGAUGAAGAACGCAGCGAAAUGCGAUAAGUAAUGUGAAUUGCAGAAUUCAGUGAAUCAUCGAAUCUUUGAACGCACAUUGCGCCCGCCAGUAUUCUGGCGGGCAUGCCUGUCCGAGCGUCAUUUCAACCCUCGAACCCCUCCGGGGGGUCGGCGUUGGGGAUCGGCCCUCCCUUAGCGGGGGCCGUCUCCGAAAUACAGUGGCGGUCUCGCCGCAGCCUCUCCUGCGCAGUAGUUUGCACACUCGCAUCGGGAGCGCGGCGCGUCCACAGCCGUUAAACACCCAACUUCUGAAAUGUUGACCUCGGAUCAGGUAGGAAUACCCGCUGAACUUAAGCAUAUCA